rnacentral:rRNA from 1 species
UACGUAGGGUGCAAGCGUUGUCCGGAAUUAUUGGGCGUAAAGGGCUCGUAGGCGGUUUGUCGCGUCGGGAGUGAAAACUCAGGGCUUAACCCUGAGCCUGCUUCCGAUACGGGCAGACUAGAGGUAUGCAGGGGAGAAUGGAAUUCCUGGUGUAGCGGUGAAAAUGCGCAGAUAUCAGGAGGAACACCGGUGGCGAAGGCGGUUCUCUGGGCAUUACCUGACGCUGAGGAGCGAAAGUGUGGGGAGCGAACAGG